rnacentral:lncRNA from 1 species
ACUCCAUGACUUGGAAACUGCUGUUUUAUCUGUAGUUUUCAAGUUUGUAUGCACAUGUCACAUUACCAUGUGAUGUGAAACAUGAGUUCCAUUAUUUGUAAUUGUACAAUUAAAAGAAAACUGGCAUCAGUGGGGUCAGCGCAGUUCUCAGAAUAAGAAGCCUAACCGUUUAUUAUUUCUCGUCUCUUCUGGCCUACCACAGAAGUAGGUAUUGUAGGAUUUGGAUAAAACAAUGACUUAAAAUUAGUUGGUAACUAUUUUGUUUUCUUUUGAAGUCCAGUUCUUUUGCAAGGCACUCUAGUAAAAUACUAGAAGAGAAUUUUGAGCACGUUUACUUGAUAAUGUCCUUUUAAUCAUUUGGGUUUUUUUGGGUUUUUUUGGGUUUUUUUUUUUUGAUUGUGCCUUUUACAUAUAUUCUGAAUAAUGGCUUUUCCUGUAAUUAGUUGAUUAUUCAGAAAGAGUUAAGGUCAAUAUCUUUGGAAGGGCUUUGUGUUUUUGGAUGCCCAACAAGGAACAGACUAUAAAAAGGAAAAAAUGAGCUCUAUCUUCACUGUUUGGAUGGCCAGAAAUGCUAGUCAUUCCUGGGGAAACAAAACAAAACAAAAAACAAUAUACUAGUCCUUUGAUGUUCUUUUGUUUGCAGAUAAUCAGACUAGUUAAUGUUUUAACCUGCUGGUCAGGCUGAUCAUUGCCAGUUGACAGUGAAAAAAAAAAUAGGAAAGCUUACGUGCUGGAUGCAUAGUUUUUAUUUUUAAUAUCAUCAGCUGUAACUGUUACGGCUUUACAUCUAUUCGUGUAUAAGCUAUGUAAAUUUUCAUGGACUGGUAUUCAUUUGGUUGGUGGAAGUAGCUGAUCUCUUAUGGCAGGUGGUUCCUUUUGAGAGUUCUGGAGUUGGAAGGACAGAGCUUUGAACCUCACAGCUGCGUGGGUCAAAACUCCUUAAGUGUCUAGUACAUCCAUUUUAAUAUGUGUGUGUACUCUUAAAAUAGUCAUAUCCUGUUAACCUGGAGGGCAUUUUUACACUACAAGCUGUGUUGUGUCUGGCAGUAAUCGAUCCAGUUGACUGUUAAUUGCCAAAGAAGGAAGAAGGAGGUCUCUCAAAUGUCUAAGGAAUGAUGAGUGGCGCAUUGAAAGAUGUUGGUCUUUUCCACGUGCUGACCUUUGGGGAGAAGGAUUGGACUCCACAUUGGUGCUCCAGACUUCUGUGUAGUUCUGAGAACCUACUGCACUCAUUCUGUAAACACUGCAUUCUGUGGGUUUUGCUAAACAAAUUUGGUAAUUUCUAGCUGUUGACUGGACUACCGUCCUUUCCUUAAAUUGAUUUUUCUAUUCAGUUUUAUUUAUUUAUAUUGGAAUUUACUCCUUGAGCACUGACACUUUUCCUACAGAGGUAUGGUUGUCAUGGCUUGUUUUUAUUCUGAACAUGAGAAAUUAUAAUGGUGAUGAUGCAUCUUCUGUAAGGCUUUGGUUUCCUUAAAACGUAUAGUGCUACUUCAGUCCGGAUUAUUAUUGGGGUAGCUAUUUUUAAAGACGUGUCUGGCCAAAACACUAUCACGAAAGACGGACUUGCUGUCAUUAAAGAGCUAAACUUAUUUUCAUAGUAAUAAAUACGAAAGAGUAUUCAGAACACUGAGGAAUGAUUUUUCAGUUCAAUUAAAAAAUAGUAAUAAUUAUAUCGGUGUAGAAACUUGCACAAAGAAAAAUGACUGAAUUCUGAGAAGGUUAUUGCUGAUGAUUUUUUUUCUUCCCCUUGAAAACAACAGCAAGAAAUGUGUUUUUUUUCUUGUGUUGAGCACACACACAUGCUAGAUUCCACUCUGCACAUCGUACAUUUAUUGUAGUGCAUUAGUGCAUUGUCACCUGUAAUCUUUUUUUUUUAAUUUCAUCAUCUCAAAGUGAUUUGGUUGUUUCAUCAUAUGCAUAGUGCAGGGCAGUCACUGUGUGAAGCCCAUAGCGAUCGUUCGCAUAGUUUGUAAGAAAUGGUUUGGUAUAAAGGGAUUUGAAGCAUUAAAUGACACUUUUUUUUUUUUUUUUUUAAUCCCCCUGUACCAUUUUGCUCUUGUUAAAAUGUUGCUCCUUUUAUAUGAAACAAUAAGGUGAAAGAAACUCAAUAUUUUGUCACUGGUAUAUGAAAUACUGUGUUUUAAAUGUGGUCUGUAUAGGUUGGUAUUUUAGAUGGAAGUCUUUAAAGUUGUCUUUUUUGGAGAAAUUCUUUGCUGUAAGGAAAAGUUAGGAAGUGUACUGUAAAUGUAGGGGUACUCAGUCCAACGUGUAGUUUUUUUUGUUAUGGAAAAGUAAAGUUCUUUUGUCUUAACAUGGCUCGCUUCACAGGGCUUCUUGCAGUGGUGCUUGCUCUGUUUUGGUUUCUGCCUUGUCACUUGGAGCAGUAUAGGAACACACUAUGGAAACACAGCGCUCUCUGUGUCUUUUUACUUUUACAACUCCUGAAGGAUAAACAAAGAUGAGGCAACAUUUUCGUCGCUCUUGUGUGUGUUACUUUUUAUUUUAAAAUAUUUUGUAAAUUAAAUUUAU